CCUACGGGAGGCAGCAGUGGGGAAUUUUCCGCAAUGGGCGAAAGCCUGACGGAGCAAUACCGCGUGAGGGAGGAAGGUUCUUGGAUUGUAAACCUCUUUUCUAGGGGAAGAAGAAAGUGACGGUACCCUAGGAAUAAGCAUCGGCUAACUCCGUGCCAGCAGCCGCGGUAAUACGGAGGAUGCAAGCGUUAUCCGGAAUUAUUGGGCGUAAAGAGUCCGUAGGUGGGAGUUCAAGUCUGCUGUUAAAGAGUGUAGCUUAACUACAUAAAGGCGGUGGAAACUGAGCAACUAGAGUGAGGUAGGGGUAACGGGAAUUCCCAGUGUAGCGGUGAAAUGCGUAGAUAUUGGGAAGAACAUCGGUGGCGAAAGCGCGUUACUGGGCCUAAACUGACACUGAGGGACGAAAGCUAGGGUAGCGAAAGGGAUUAGAUACCCCAGUAGUC
rnacentral:rRNA from 1 species